rnacentral:rRNA from 1 species
UACGGGGGGAGCAAGCGUUGUUCGGAUUUACUGGGCGUAAAGGGCGCGUAGGCGGUCGUGACAAGUCACUUGUGAAAUCUCCGGGCUUAACUCGGAACGGUCAAGUGAUACUGUCGGACUAGAGUACAGAAGGGGCAACUGGAAUUCCCGGUGUAGUGGUGGAAUGCGUAGAUAGUCGGGAGGAACACCAGUGGCGAAGGCGGUUGCCUGGAGCUUUGCUGACGCUGAGGCGCGAAAGCGUGGGGAGCGAUCCGG